AGAUGCUAAGCCUGGAAACCCACAGGAAACAUGUUAUUCUUCAGUAUUUGCAAAGCACUGAUAAAAACAUCUCUCUUCUCUCAAUCUUGCUUCCUUCUUUUCAUUUACUAAAUAGGCUUUUGAGCCUCACAAGACUUUGAGAUUUUAUGGAUAUGAAACCUGCUAUCAUUUAGCAUCCUGCCUCUGGGAAUAGACAUGGAUUCUCACUAUGACACCCAGGCUGGAGUGCAGUGGCACAAUCAUAGCUGACUACAGCCUCGAAUUUCUGGGCUCAAGCAAGGCUUUCAUCUCAACCUCCCCAGGAGCUGGGAUUACAGAUGGUGUCAGAAGCGGGGUUCAAAGUAGAGCUUUAAUGACCCCCAGAAGUGCUGAGUGAACAAGCAAGGUACCUGCAAGGACCCACUUGUGUCCUUUGAUCUCUCAGAGCAGUGGAUCUGCUUGCUUCCCCUUUGCCUUCUGCCAUGAUUGUAAGUUUCCUGAGGCCUCCUACAUCAUGCCUCCUGUAUAGCCUGCAGAACUGUGAGUCAAUUAAACCUCUUUUCUUUACAAACUAUCUGGUCUUAGAUAGUUCUUUAUAUCAAUGCAGAACUGACUAAUAUAGUGCCUAAGUAAAUUCUGAUACAUUAAUACAUUUGGAUACUGCUAAGUAUUAAAAGGGAACAAAUUAUAUGUACAUACAUGUAUUCUUGUCAAAAAUACUAUACCAGGUAAAAGAAACAAGACAUGAAACAAUUAAUACUAUAAGAUGUCAUUCCUAUGAAAUUAUAGGAAAGCCAAGUCUAAUCUACAGUACCAGAAAGCAGAUCCAUGCAUGUUUUAAACUAGGGUUUGGAAGGAGCAUAAAGGGGACAUUUUGGAGUAAUGGAAAUGUGGUAUGUAUUGUGAUUUGGCAAUGAUCACUUGUGUAAAUAUGUCGAAACUUAUCAAACAGUACAGUUAAAAUGGGUUCAUUUUAUUGUAUGUAAAUAUAAAAUAUCACUCAUCUUUAAUAAAAUUGAUUUAAAGAAGUCAAGGAUAGCAAGCUUUCAAUAAGGCACUUAUUCCUUGAUGACAAUGUUGUGGGUUUUUAAAAUAUAAUUGACAGCUCACACCCCAUCAACUACUGCUAUUAAACUGUAUAAUACAGCUCAGCUAUCCACAAGAAACAAAUAAAAACAAAAAAAACUCACACCCCAUCAACUACUGCUAUUAAACUGUAUAAUACAGCUCAGCUAUCCACAAGAAACAAAUAAAAACAAAAAAAA
ensembl:lncRNA novel transcript